rnacentral:lncRNA from 1 species
AAUGUAAUUUUAAGCCAAUCUAAAAAUACAUUUCCGUUUGAAAAAUGCAUUUUAAGUGUUUUUAUUUAUUGAAAGCAGAAAACAAGAAGUAAAACCAAACAUGUUUUCAGAAUUCUAAUCUUUUGAAAAUGAAAACAGGAAAUGGAAAUGCAAAUCAAACACACCCUUAAAAUUUUAAGAAUUUCAAAUACUUCAAUUGAAAUUCUUU